UCUGUGUUUGUUUGUGAACAAAUGACUCUGUAUUUUAGUCGCUAAUUGUGGGUGUCCAGUGAUUUUGAUAAUCUAAAUGUAAAUCUUUUCUCGGUGUCCAGUGAUUUGUUUGUGUACUUUGACUUCAGUUGUUGUAUGUUCCACAAUUGGACUGAAUUCGGGAUGGAGCUGCGGACCCAUACCUUGGCAGGGCAACCUGGAUGGCAGCUGUUGGGGUAACAAAUUUAACGAUUUUCCUUCACUUGUAUACAACCAGGUGGUAGCCAUGGCAUUGCUCUUUCCUCCUGGUAUUGACUGGGCUGCAACUUGACACCAUACUUUUACCUCUUGGGACUUCGCCAUUAUGGCUUUUAUAUUCAUUGAGCAAUCUCCCAAGGAGCAUCAACUUAUGAAUUGGUGAGAAAGCGGCGGAAUACUUCUGAUGUGUCCGUGUAAUAUGGAAUUCUUCCUUGCCACUGAAAAUGUCAUUCCUGGGAUGGAGGGUGAUGAAUGGUUUGCUGCCGGUGGAUGUGUUGCUCCAGAAAUGUCGCCUGCCAGUCCUAGGAAAGCAACAGGCAUUUGUUUUUUGAGGUGCAAGUGGCCCAUCAUGUAUGGCUGCAUUAUGCUCGUGCCUUUGCAAUUUCUUUAGCUACUCAUACUUGUUUAUCUUCAAUUAUAAUGCAGUGGGUUUUGUUUUAUGGGACUCAUUAUUGUGUGGUGUCUAUGGCGCGCAAGGAAUGAGCACAGGUUUCAAGCGUGUCCCAUGGUUCUAGCCAAAGUAAUCUUCAGAAUUAACAGGUUCCUUGCUUUAUUUGGAGCUGCGACUGUUGUCAAAAAAUCGCUCCUGGAUGGAGGGGGAUGAAGACUCGCUUCUAGCUUCAUUCUUCCGAGGUAAACAACAGCCAAGGAAGCAGCUUCUUAAAUGAAGUUUGGUGACAUUGAAGUAUAAGAGGCAGAAGCAAAUGCUUUGGCAACGGGUUUGCAGCUGUGUAUUGACGGAGGAGAACAAAGGGUCUGCGCAGAAGUGGAUUCACAUCUAUUAUAUCAGCUCAUCGGUUCCAACAAGGUGUCCAAAUGGCCUCUAUGCAAUAUAUUAGCAAAGAUACGGGUCCAAAUGAGCUGAUGAAGACUGCUGAUUCUGUAUUAAGUGAAUGUUUUACAUGAAUCUAUAAUGUUACUCAACUGGCCGGCUAUGUUAUUACGAGUGUUGACCUUUGUUUCAUGGUAAAUAAACAAGGGAAAAAAAUGGAACCUGAAAAGAGGAAAGGCAGACUAAAGCUUCAACAAAAGCUAGAAACGAUGUACAUCAAGCUGAGGACUUUCAUUGGAUGUAUAUUCCAUCAAGUACAAGAAUUCAACACCAAAAAAUGUGUGCAAAAACAUGGUGCACCGCUACAUUCUAAAGUAAUGUGAUACACUAUCCUUGA